rnacentral:rRNA from 1 species
UACGUAGGUGGCAAGCGUUGUCCGGAAUUAUUGGGCGUAAAGCGCGCGCAGGUGGUUUCUUAAGUCUGAUGUGAAAGCCCACGGCUCAACCGUGGAGGGUCAUUGGAAACUGGGGAACUUGAGUGCGGGAGAGAAGAGUGGAAUUCCACGUGUAGCGGUGAAAUGCGUAGAGAUGUGGAGGAACACCAGUGGCGAAGGCGACUCUUUGGCCUGUAACUGACACUGAGGCGCGAAAGCGUGGGGAGCAAACAGG